ACAGAAAUAUGCCGAGAGGCCGCGAGAAAGGCGAGAGGCCGCGAGAAAGGGAAGAGACCAAGGAAGCCGCGAGGAGAAAACCGGAAUGAGGAUGGUGCGGUCGCUCCAAAAGCACCGGUUCCAACGACGAUGGUGACGAUAUGAAGUUAAAACAGGAACAGAUGUACCCAUAAGCAUGGCUUGUGCAUCAAUGGCAGUCAUCAUCAACAUGGCAGAGUUUGGCAGUGAACAAAGUCAACAUAGCAAGGCUGGCUUGAUCUGAUUUAAAUUUUA